AGACAGGUGCUGCAUGGCUGUCGUCAGCUCGUGUUGUGAAAUGUUGGGUUAAGUCCCGCAACGAGCGCAACCCUUAUCCUUUGUUGCCAGCGGUUAGGCCGGGAACUCAAAGGAGACUGCCAGUGAUAAACUGGAGGAAGGUGGGGAUGACGUCAAGUCAUCAUGGCCCUUACGACCAGGGCUACACACGUGCUACAAUGGCGCAUACAAAGAGAAGCGACCUCGCGAGAGCAAGCGGACCUCAUAAAGUGCGUCGUAGUCCGGAUUGGAGUCUGCAACUCGACUCCAUGAAGUCGGAAUCGCUAGUAAUCGUAGAUCAGAAUGCUACGGUGAAUACGUUCCCGGGCCUUGUACACACCGCCCGUCACACCAUGGGAGUGGGUUGCAAAAGAAGUAGGUAGCUUAACCUUCGGGAGGGCGCUUACCACUUUGUGAUUCAUGACUGGGGUGAAGUCGUAACAAGGUAACCGUAGGGGAACCUGCGGUUGGAUCACCUCCUUA
rnacentral:rRNA from 1 species